rnacentral:rRNA from 1 species
GUUCAGCUCGUGUCGUGAGAUGUCGGGUUAAGUCCCAUAACGAGCGAAACCCUUGUCUCCAGUUGCCAGCGGGUCAUGCCGGGGACUCUGGAGAGACUGCCGGUGUUAAACCGGAGGAAGGUGGGGAUGACGUCCAAGUCCUCAUGGCCUUUAUGCCUAGGGCUGCACACGUGCUACAAUGGCAUGUACAAAGGGACGCCAACCCGCGAGGGGGAGCAAAUCCCAAAAAACAUGCCCCAGUUCAGAUCGAAGGCUGCAACUCGCCUUCGUGAAGUGGAAU